UUUAGUUCCCCCCUGAUUUCUGCAGAGGUGGAAGGGCUAAAGGCUGAAUCAAUCACGAACAGCCAAUGAGUUAUCAAUCAUGACCAUGUAACGAAGCCUCCAUAAAAACCCAAAAGAAGGGAAUUCAGAGAGUUUCCAAGUUCGGGAGCCAGAAUGAGUCCACAUGCCAUCAAUUCCAGGAGCCAAGCUCCAAGACAGAAGCUCCUUUGCUCAGGACUCACCCAUGUAUCUCUUCAUCUGGUUGUUGAUUCAUAUACUUUAAUAUAUUUUGUAAUAAAUUAGUAAUCAGACCCUAAGCCACAUCAAAUCAUAUUAUUUUGGUGCCCAACAUUCAGUCUGAGUCUUCUCAUCUGGACUCCGACCCUCAGUGCAAACUUGGAAUAUAGUGUGACUGCUAACAUGCCUUCUCGUUGCCGUGAAUCUGUGGAAGACCUCAAACUUCUUUUCAAAUGACAAUGAAGGACUAGAGCACGUCACUUGGCACAUGAAAGCUCUUAAUAAUGUCUCCCUGCCUGGUGCCUAGACUCCUUCCCUGCAUUUGCUCGAAGUCCUCAGAAGCUGAGCCAUGCAGACUCAUCACCAUGUUCCAACACCUUGCCACCUAGUUUCCUGUUGGGUUUGGCCAAUGGAAGAUAUCAACAUGAAACUGGAAUGUUUGAGAAGAGAGAGACUGGCAUUCUUUCCUGCUUCCUUUUUGCUAUACCACUUGCUCUCUGGCAGUAGCUGUAUCUCUAUUUCACUGGGCCACUCCUUCACAGUUGCAGUCCAGAAACACUAAUUUCUCUCCAAAGAGUUUCUUACUAAGCUGUUUCUGUAUGCUUCAUCAUCUCAUUUAUUCCCAUAACUAUGCCCACAUCUUUUUAAAUAGGCUCUUCAUUUGGACUGAAUUCUGUUUCCUGCUGGGUCCCUAAC